CCGGAAGGGCACCCAGGAAGCGAAGGUCGCGGCAGCAGCGUCUUCUCCAACCUCCCAGACUUCAUCCGUUCUCUUUCCUCUACCCAGAUCAGACAUCUGACUUUCAGAUAACACCUCCUGUCCUCUUAUUUCGGCACCAAGUGACAGUGGCUCAGGUGUCCUCCCAGCAGGGCCGUCCCUAUCUCCCCACCGUGCGCCUCUCCGGACCCCCGCUGUGCUGCACUGCGUGAAGGAACAGUCCCCUGUCACCAAAGGGCGGCAGUCUCCGGCCAGGACGAGGAAGGUCGUGGCUCUCUCUUACGAAGAGGACGGAGCUGGGACAGCGAGCAGUGAGUGCCGCAGACCGGCAACUGGGAUCCGGCUCUGGUCUGGUCCCGCCGCCCUGGGGUAGCCUCUCCUUGCUCAGCGCGGUGGCCCAGAGCCCAGCAAUCUAAAACUGGAGUAAGGAACCUGACAGCUGUAACCACACACAGCCACGGCCGGUGUGCAAAGGCGCCAUGUGCCUUCUCGUUCCCGACGGGGUUAAGUUCACGCGGCCACGUGGAGGGUCCUGGAUCAGGGCUGGCGGCUGCAGCCCGCCCCGGACCCUUCCGUGGUACAGCUGAGCCUCACGGGUGCAGCUCAGAAUGUGCAAGAGGUUUCUUGUAGGUGUCUCGACGCUUUGUCUCUGGAAUUAAUUCAGACAGACAACCUGCAACUUAUUUGUUCCAACUGGGUCUUUGCUUAACUUUCUGCCUUUAAGCUCAUGGUGGCCUUGGCCCAUGCAGGACACAGCUUUUGUGAUUUCUGCCAUCCUUUUGAGGAUAAUGGACAAUCUGGGUAAAAGCAGAUCACUCGCAGUAAUCCAGGCAAGGAGUGUGGCGAUGGGAGCCGAGGUGGGGAAGAGUCAGACACCACAAAAGAGUGAUGAGAA